rnacentral:tRNA from 1 species
GCUUCCUUAGUAUCAACAAGUACGGUCGACUUCCAAUCAACCAGGUUCUGGUUAUAACCCAGAAGAAAGCA